rnacentral:rRNA from 1 species
GAUGAACGCUGGCGGCGCGCCUAACACAUGCAAGUCGAACGAUUAAAGCACCUUCGGGUGUGUAUAAAGUGGCGAACGGCUGAGUAACACGUGGGCAACCUGCCCCUCUCAUUGGGAUAGCCACGGGAAACCGUGGAUAAUACCGAAUACUUCGGGACUUCCGCAUGGAAGACUCGAGAAAGCUCCGGCGGAGAGGGAUGGGCCCGCGGCCUGUUAGCUUGUUGGUGGGGUAAUGGCCUACCAAGGCAAUGAUGGGUAGCUGGGUUGAGAGACCGACCAGCCAGAUUGGGACUGAGACACGGCCCAGACUCCUACGGGAGGCAGCAGUGGGGAAUCUUGCACAAUGGGCGAAAGCCUGAUGCAGCGACGCCGCGUGCGGGAUGAAGGCCUUCGGGUGGUAAACCGCUUUCAGCAGGGACGAGGCGAAAGUGACGGUACCUGCAGAAGAAACCCCGGCUAACUACGU